rnacentral:rRNA from 1 species
AGAGUUUGAUCCUGGCUCAGAAUCAACGCUGGCGGCGUGCCUCAGACAUGCAAGUCGAACGAUUAAAGCUCUCUUCGGAGAGUGUAUAGAGUGGCGCACGGGUGAGUAACACGUAAGUAAUCUACCCUCGAGUGGGGAAUAACAACCGGAAACGGUUGCUAAUACCGCAUAAUGCAGCGGCACCGCAAGGUGACAGUUGUUAAAGAUUUAUCGCUUGAGGAGGAGCUUGCGGCAGAUUAGCUAGUUGGUAGGGUAACGGCUUACCAAGGCUACGAUCUGUAACCGGUCUAAGAGGACGGUCGGUCACACUGACACUGAAUAACGGGUCAGACUCCUACGGGAGGCAGCAGUCGGGAAUUUUGGGCAAUGGGCGAAAGCCUGACCCAGCAACGCCGCGUGGAGGAUGAAGUAUUUCGGUAUGUAAACUUCGAAAGAAUAGGAAGAAUUAAUGACGGUACUAUUUAUAAGGUCCGGCUAACUACGUG